UACAGAGGGGGCAAGCGUUGUUCGGAAUUACUGGGCGUAAAGGGCGCGUAGGCGGCCUGCUAAGUCGAACGUGAAAUCCCUGGGCUCAACCCAGGAACUGCGUCCGAUACUGGUUGGCUUGAGUCCGGGAGAGGGACGUGGAAUUCCAGGUGUAGCGGUGAAAUGCGUAGGUAUCUGGAGGAACACCGGUGGCGAAGGCGACGUCCUGGACCGGCAUUGACGCUGAGGCGCGAAAGCCAGGGGAGCAAACGGG
rnacentral:rRNA from 1 species